rnacentral:tRNA from 1 species
AGGAUUUUAGUUUAAAUAAAACAUUUGAUUUGCAUUCAAAAAUUAUUGUUAAUCAAUUUAUCUUA